rnacentral:rRNA from 1 species
AUUGAACGCUGGCGGCAGGCUUAACACAUGCAAGUCGAGCGAGCGGCGGACGGGUGAGUAAUGUCUGGGAAACUGCCUGAUGGAGGGGGCUAACUACUGGAAACGGUCGCUAAUACCGCAUACCAUCAGAUGUGCCCAUAUGGGAUUAGCUAGUCGGUGGGGGAAUGGCUCACCUAGGCGCCGAUCCCUAGCUGGUCUGAGAGGAUGACCAGCCACACUGGAACUGAGACACGGUCCAGACUCCUACGGGAGGCAGCAGUGGGGAAUAUUGGACAAUGGGCGCAAGCCUGAUGCAGCCAUGCCGCGUGGGUGAAGAAGGCCUUCGGGUUGUAAAGCACGUUCAGCGGGGAGGCGUUACUCGCAGAAGAAGCACCGGCUAACUCCGUGCCAGCAGCCGCGGUAAUUC